rnacentral:lncRNA from 1 species
GAGAAAGGCUGGAGAUUGUUUUUAAGCAACAAGGCAAUUUAUUAGUAACUGAAAAGCAAGCCGUAGGGAAGCCAGGGCUUGUGAAGCUCACGAGAUACUUAGAUGACGUCAGAGCCUAACGCAUCAUCUUCCACAGCACCUUCCACAACAGCAACAUUGUCUACAACUGCACAGUCAGCAGCUUGAGGGAGCCCUUCAAAGGCAGAAACAAUCCAAGAUGGCUGACGAGAAUUCUCAGAGCAUUGGAAGAGGACAGUGCACGAUUACUUCCCAGGGGAACCACCCUUGGUGUCUGGAGACUUCCACUUGCUUUGCGUUUUGAAAGUGCUCACGCAGCCCUGGGGCAUUUCAGUGUGGCCGAGUAAGGGGUCAGGAACAGGGGCAUCAGAAGAAAGGCUGAAGGUGCUAGGGUUAAUUUGAAGCACAGUGCAGGGUCCUGGGCCUGUGACGCUUCCAGGGGAAGCUGAAGAGGGCUUGGUGCCCAGAAUCAAAUCUGCAUUGAGCCCUAUGCCUAGAAGACACGCUGUCUAGGGGUGCUGUGUUCUGUUCUGUCUCAACACCUCAGCAACCCCAUGACUAGCCCGCAAAGAGGAAGGUGAGGUUUUUUAAAGAGAUUAAGUAACUUGUUUCAAAGAGGUUACCCAGCCCACAACUGUGGGUCAGGAUUUGAACACAAGCAUCUUGCAGAGAAAAAAAAAUCUGGCUCCUAUACUAUUUCCCCUAAUCAGCUCCCUUGGCUCUGAAAACCAACCUAACCCCAAAUGCAAGGGUUUGAAGGCAGCUCCAGUCCGGUCUCCAGGGCGGGGCCCAGUACAAAGUCUCUUGUACCAAUUGCAGGACCCAACCUUGUAUCCUAUUCUCAACACUAGCUCCCAACAUUAGAGCAGUGUCCCUAAGUUGCCACGGUCCCCCAUAGUCUUAUAUUUGAACUGUGGCCCAAAGCCUGGAGCCUUGCUGCCCAUUCUAUAACCUGGUUUUGACCUCUGUUCUGUUUGGAUACCACAGGAUGCUUGUCCCCAAGUGUCCCCUUGCAGCUAUGUCGGUUAGACACCUGCUGUUCCCCGUCCCUGGGGAGGGUGCCCGAGGGUCACAGCGUCCUCCCUCUCUCCCUGCCGUCUCCUGACCCAACACUUCUAGCUCUGGCAAGUAGAUCUGCAUCUCUGGGCUUGGCCCUGCCUCAGGGGAGAGGCCCAGGGCUCCAUCCCAAUGCUUGUCUCUUGGGGUGCCUGCAGAGAGUGAACUCCACUGUGGCUGGCUGCCAUGGUUGCUGUUGGAGUUUGUUUGAGUGUUUGUUAAAGACCGUUGCUCUUCAGAGCUUUCUAUGUGACAAAACCUGGAUUCAUCACGGAAACUGAAUUCCUUCAUGUAACCUCUCCAAAGCCCUUUGAGCAAAGAGGAAAUGCUACAGGCAGGGCUACUAACAUGCCGGUCUGUUCUGAUACUCCAUUGAUGGGCUCAGGAGCAUGAGACCCUAGAACCAAGACAAGCUGCCUCUUCUCUGGCCAGAAACCUGCCCCGAUUCCUUUCUCUUAGACCUGGGGCUCACUGCCCUUCUUGAGACACGACAGCUCCAGAAUCAUGUCCCUCCUAUCCCCUUCCUUCAGAGCUUGGCCUCAUCCACAGUCCUGGCUUGAUAUCAUGGCCUUUGGGUCUUCUCAUUAGUGUCUGCUCUGGGCCGUGCUAUGAUAUCCUCGGCUGGCCGAGACGGGACCAGCUCAGCAGAUUCCCCUCGGCCAUUACCCGGCGAUAUGUGGCUGAAGGCACUUCAGUAGCUCCAGGUGAAAAGGGAUGAUGUUCUCUUGGUGCUGGUCAGAGCUGGUGAAGGUUGCCAGUGUCCUUCACAGGAUGGACUAACUGAGAGACCUCAAUAGUUGAAAACCCAGCCUUGCCUUGAACCUGAUUUUCUGCGAUCUAUCAGUCUAAGCAGAAACCAGAAACCACUCUAUUGUGUCUUCCAGUCAGGAGGAUUUUAACACAGACAGUGGAUUUUACAGGGGGAAAGACACAACCCAGAGAUCAGCAAACACAUGGCAUUUGAAUAUCUGGACUGAGGGAGCUGGAGAAGAGAGUCCCACCGGUACUUCAAGAUCUAGAGCCACGCAACAAACACUAGAAGCAUAGCCUGGCCUGUUCAGCACAACUAGGGGCCAUGAGGCAGGACCACAGAGAAGACCACCCUCUAGAAGACAACAGAGAAACGGGAGGGGGAAUACCUUGGCUCCUCCCAUUGGCUAGUACUUCCCAUGAAUCCAAUCCAUCCCCUGAGCAGAGGACAAAAGAGCCUUGGAAAUGUUUCCUGCAGUACACAAGGAAAACAGGAGCAGGCUGCUCGUCAAGCAAGCAUGGCUGCCCAGGGAGCAUGGCUGUGGGUUUGUGCUCUGUACCUGAGCCACCUGGCAGUAAGGGAUGGCCCCAGCCUGCAGCCUGUGAAGAGCUCGGGCCCUACUCAGGUUCCAAGAAGAAUCAAAUACAGGGAGGCAGACAGGCCCUGAAACCUUUCCAAGUUCCCUACAUCCCCCCUAAGGGUCCCCAUAACGACAACAAUCAUGUCACUGAGCAUAGAGGAGCCAAGGGGCAGGGCCAGGGGAUUUAUCAGUAUGUCAUUUUACUUGCCCAGAGAAUCUUGGUGACCAGUUCUCCGUGGUCCUCACUGAUAAAAAGCAAGGAGUCACAGAAACUCAGCAUCAAUGAUAAUCGUAAGAGGAAUGACUCUGAGGGAAACGUGACACUUCCCAAAGAUCCAAGGGAGAGAAAUCUAUGUCCAAUGAAGUCAAGACAUGAAACUAGUUCUUUAGAGAAGAUGCUCCAGCAGGAGGAGCAAAGGUGGGCCUGUUGUAGACCAUGUGAAGAUUUCCAUAGGAAAAGGGGACAAAGCCGGGCAUGGUGGUGCAGGCCUGGAAUCCCAGUACUGCGGGGGCUGAGGAGGGAAAACUGUCAGUCAGUCUGGGUUACAACAAAACCAAACCAAGGGAGCAUAAUAAAAGCCAAGC